CACACACACAUCAUCCAGCACACGCAGUCACACACACAUCCUCCAGCACUCACACACACACAUCAUCCAGCACACGCAGUCACACACACAUCAUCCAGCACUCACACACACAUCAUCCAGCACACGCACACACUGCAUUCAUUAUACACACUCUUCACUCACUAAAAACACACUACAUUAACUAUACACUCACUACAAACAUACUACAUUCACUAUACACACUCUGCAUUCAUUAUACACAUUCUGCACUCAC